rnacentral:rRNA from 1 species
UACAGAGGGUGCGAGCGUUUAAUCGGAAUUACUGGGCGUAAAGCGUGCGUAGACGGUUAUUUAAGUCAGGUGUGAAAGCCCCGGGCUCAACCUGGGAAUUGCAUUUGAGACUGAAUAGCUAGGGUGCGGAAGAGGGAAGCGGAAUUUCCGGUGUAGCGGUGAAAUGCGUAGAUAUCGGAAGGAACACCAGUGGCGAAAGCGGCUUCCUGGUCCAGCACCGACGUCAGGCACGAAAGCGUGGGGAGCAAACAGG